rnacentral:lncRNA from 1 species
AAAUUCCAAAUGAAUCGAAAUGAUCACAAGCAAAUAGAUAAUUAAACAGGCAAAAAAAAUCAAUCAGAGUGAGAGGAAAAGAGACAGAGAGCAGAUGCUUAUCGGGGCUUGACUUAGUUAACAACUAAACACAGACAAGGGUACCCAGCAGACUUCAUGAAGUUUCAUGGAGAUCUCAGCUUUUCGUCCUGGUCCUGAUAUGGCCGCUGAGGAAAUAUCCCAAUGGAUUCGCACUGGUGAAGUCCUUGUUGGACUUGGAGGUGGAUACAAUUUUUAUCAUCACAAAGCAGGGUGAGAACAACAAGCAGUACUUAUCAUGAUGACGAUGAUGAUGAUCAUCAUCAUCAUCACCAUCCUCAUGUGCCAUGCCCUAUCCAGUAUCGGUGCUGCAGAAGCAAUUACUGGCCUACAAUCCUGAAUGGGUUACUACUCCAACUCAGGAACUCGAGAUCUCAGCUUUUCGUCCUGGUCCUGAUAUGGCUGCUGAGGAAAUAUCCCAAUGGAUUCGCACUGGAAAGAAGGCUGGAAUGUGAGCCACAGUUUUCCAUAUGGCAUGUUGACCGACACGGCAUAUUUUGGAUUGUAGAGAACAGUGGGGAGGGUGAAGUGCACAAGCUUGCCAUUGGAAGGGAAUUCUGCCCACAAAAAAAACAAACAACGAGGCUCAAAGAUAGUUUAUUGAGCAAUCACUAUGAAGGUCAGUGAGAAUUUAUUCUGUUUAUUCCAUCAGUCUGAUAACCUUGAUGUGCAAACAAACAACAUUCUAGUUCAAAGAGCCAG